rnacentral:rRNA from 1 species
AGCUCUGUAAGCGUAUACCAAAGUUGUUGCAGUUAAAACGCUCGUAGUCGGAUUUUGGCGUGGUGCUUAUUAGAUGCCCAACAUUUUUGGUGUGUCGAUUUAUAGUCCCGCCUUUGUGGAAGGGGGCGUGGUGGUUCUUUAUUGGAUUGCUGCGUUUCCGCCACUGUUUACUGUGAAAAAAUUAGAGUGUUCAAAGCGAGCGAUUGCCAAAUGAAUAGAUUAGCAUGGAAUAAUAGAAUAGGACCUGGUUCUGUUUUAUUGGUUUGUCGGAUUCAGGUAAUGAUUAAGAGGGACGGUCGGGGGCAUUUGUAUUCCAGGGUUAGAGGUGAAAUUCUUAGAUCCUUGGAAGACAAACAGCUGCGAAAGCGUCUGCCAAGGACGUUUUCA